UACGGGGGGUGCAAGCGUUAAUCGGAAUUACUGGGCGUAAAGGGUGCGUAGGUGGUUGGAUAAGUUAUCUGUGAAAUUCCUGGGCUUAACCUAGGGUGGUCAGAUAAGACUGUUUGACUAGAGUACAGGAGAGGGCAGUGGAAUUUCCGGUGUAGCGGUGAAAUGCGUAGAUAUCGGAAGGAACACCGGUGGCGAAGGCGGCUGCCUGGUCUGAUACUGACACUGAGGCACGAAAGCGUGGGGAGCAAACAGG
rnacentral:rRNA from 1 species